rnacentral:lncRNA from 1 species
UACCUUCCUUCCUCCCUGGAUGUGAAUCGGAGUUGAGUGUUUCUCGAAGCAAAGACUCAGAGUUCUUGUCCAGGAGUACUGUGGUAGUGCAAACUGGCUGGGAGAAAGAAGAUGUGCAGGCUGAGCCUGUUUGUCGAAACAUCGAGGCCUCCAGUUGGCAGAAACCCUGGGAGAUGCUGGUCCUUACCUACUGUGUGCAGAAACUACUAAUCGUUUUGUAUGUCAGAGGCAGUGUUGUUUCAGCCUCUCCUGAAAAAGUCGAGGGGUGGGGCUAGGAAGUACUCGUUUGAGAAGACAUUAACCAGACCAUCCUUCUUCUCCCCCACCUAAGAGAAAGGGC